GGCGGCGUGCUUAAUACAUGCAAGUCGAACGGGGUCCANCCGGUGGCAACACCGGGGAAGACCUAGUGGCGAACGGGUGAGUAACACGUGAGCAACCUGCCCCGAAGACCGGGAUAACACCGGGAAACUGGUGCUAAUACCGGAUACCCCCNCCGGACCGCAUGAUCUGGUGAGGAAAUGAAUUUCGCUUUGGGAGGGGCUCGCGGGCUAUCAGCUUGUUGGUGAGGUAACGGCUCACCAAGGCAGCGACGGCUAGCUGGUCUGAGAGGACGACCAGCCACACUGGGACUGAGACACGGCCCAGACUCCUACGGGAGGCAGCAGUAGGGAAUCUUGCGCAAUGGGCGAAAGCCUGACGCANCAACGCCGCGUGGGGGAUGAAGGCUCUCGGGUUGUAAACCCCUUUCAGCAGGGACGAAAUUGACGGUACCUGCAGAAGAAGCCCCGGCCAACUACGU
rnacentral:rRNA from 1 species